rnacentral:lncRNA from 1 species
AUGCAUGGCGGCUCCAGUCCAUCCGUCGUGCCAGGGGCGCCCUUAUACACUGAAUCCGUUCGUGUCUCAUAACAAAUUAUCAGUGAACAACAAUAUUUUCAGUCAUAGCUUUUCAGCGGCCUAGAGAUGAGACGGUCCACGGAGAACGGGUCGAGGGGCGACGACUAUGCUGGACACGGAAGAGAGCUAGCGCCAUUGACGUGCGCCAAUCAGGGGAACGACGAGGGAGCCAUGUGCAGGUUAGCUUUGUUAUUUUGCUCCUUUAAUUUUACGUUGGUGAUGGGCACCCCAAGUACAAGUUUUUUUUCUAUAUAGUUUGUUCCGUACGUUGAGAUUUGGCACGCACAAGAUCGACACUGUAUUGACCAGCUGCAACGACGACGACGCAGGCAG